GACGAACGCUGGCGGCGUGCUUAACACAUGCAAGUCGAACGAAGUGGCGAACGGGUGAGUAAUACGUGGGUAACCUGCCCUCCUUUUUGGGAUAAGCCUUGGAAACGGGGUCUAAUACCGAAUAAAGGGGGAUGGGCUCGCGGCCUAUCAGCUUGUUGGUGGGGUGAUGGCCUACCAAGGCGGUGACGGGUAGCCGGCCUGAGAGGGUGACCGGCCAACUGUGGACUGGGAGACGGGCCAGACUACCAAGGGGGGGAGUCGGUGGGGAUAUUGCCACAUGGGUGAAAGCCCUAGGCAGCGAAGCCGCGUGGGGGAUGAAGGCCUUUGGGUUGUAAACCUUUUUUGGCAUUGAAAGGAUAGGUGGAGAAGAAGCGCCGGCUAACUACGUGCCAGCAGCCGCGGUAAUAC
rnacentral:rRNA from 1 species